UAUUAAUUAAGUAUGGAUUAGAAAGCACACACAGUCAAAAGAAUCGAAUUAAAAAUACAAUAAUUAAAUGAUUUAGUUAGCCCAAUUAAAUUGUUUAGCCCACAUUAAAAUCUAAUAAUUCAUGUGACCUAGCCCUACUUGUGUUCUCACAGCCAAUGAAACAAAAGCUAGAACACGCCUCUUUUUUUUCUCCUUUUUUUUUCUUGGUUCGAUUCUUGACUCGGUAAUACAGCCGAUGGAGAUUUGAUGGGAGGUCAAGUAACAUGUUGUUGGGUGUUUAGCAGAUGAAGGGUUGUUUAAGAAGGACGUUGUGCUUCAUGAUGGAAGGGUUACUUGUUGGCCAUAAAGUGUGGUUCUUCUGAAGGGUAAAAUGGUCGAGUGAAAUGGUGGCAGUGAAAAUUGAAGGUGCAAGUAGGUUUUCUGGUGGAUAUCGGAAGUUGUUAGUGAUCGAUUUGGGGUAGGAGAUGUUUGACGGGGAGGUUCUCGGUUGUUGCAGCGGCGGUGGUUUAAGGAUGAUAGAAGGAUGGUGAUGGCGAUUUCGAUUUUCGCUCUAGCUGGAUGUGGUGGCAAUGUUUUAGGCAGCGGUGGUGAUAUAGGGUUCUCGGUAAGGGCAGAUGGUUUUAGGUGCUUGUUUGCCGGUGGAUGUUUAUAUCCAUCAGAUCAAAAGAGCAAUCCUUGUGAAGAGCUGCUUCUUUUUUAUUGGUUGAAUUCUUUACCAUGCUGGCAAUCCAAAGCAAAAUAAAGACAGCAUGUAUCCCUGUAAAUUUUAAAGUUGGACAUUAUACAGUAAAAUUUGUUUUUAAGACAUUUUUUUAAGAGAUGUUUUAUUUCAUUGUAUUUUAUGUAUAAAAAUUUGUAUUUAAGACUUUAA